ACUUCGGCAAAGGUCGUGAAUUCCGCGGUCCGUGUCAAGUGGCCAUCUUGAAACUGCCUCGCCGCUGUUAAAUUUUAAGACCGUAUCCCGGUACUCCCCCAUUUAGAUCUAGGAAGCAGAAGUAAUUGUUCCGAUGGAUAAUAGAAAACAUGACCUGGUAGGUAACUUUUUAUUAAUAUUUCAUAGUUAGUCUGAAACCCUUAGUGCUAAGGAAUUGGAAGGCCAGAAUUGGCCCGUUUUUGCUGUUCCUUUGUAAUUUGAAAGGGGCUGAUAGCCAGCUAAAUAGAGAGUAACAGAUAGUUGCUAAGACUUGAGCACCGUGAUGUGAGUACAGAUCAGUGAUAUAACGUUGGUUAUCUUCUCUUGCAGAUAAUCAAGAAAUUCAGUGUGGUAUGGGUGAAGUCCUGUUUGUUUAGAAGCCUGUGGCGCACUGCCAAAAGGUUUGGCUGACACACCAUCCACUUGUUUGCUUUGCUGAAAUGCCUUCAACUCCUCCUCAAAUAAAAAUUGGAUGAAAUUGCCAGACAAGCUUGAGCAAGAAAGGAUCUGAAACACAGCAGUUUAGUAAAAA